GAUAUUAAUUCUUCUGAGCUCCUUGCUUCUAGUCCUCUUCCCAUCUUGUCUUUCCAUUGCUGUCAUAACCUUAAAACAAUCCAUCACAGGCAGCAAUCUUUUACUCUCCAAAAAAAGAAAUUUUGCCCCGGGAUUUUUCGGUCUGGGCAACUCUAAUUAUAAAUAUCUUGGCAUUUGGUAUCACAAACUACCAGGACAAAACGUCGUGUGGGUUGCAAUUAGGAACAAUUCAUUUAAUGACUCUUCAGGGGUCCUUUCGGUAAGCCCAGAUGGGAACCUUUUGCUCUAUGAUAGCCCGUGUUGAUGCACUUGAAUUAGC
rnacentral:misc_RNA from 1 species